rnacentral:lncRNA from 1 species
GGGGGGGAAAUCGAGAUGAAGUUAAAUAAAGCUAUGGCCUUCAGAGAAAGUAUAGAUCCUAUAUUUUUCAUUUCAACGAUCAAUCUGAAUGCAGCAACAAGAAGUUUACAAGAGCAACACCGCUAGUACAAGAGGGUGCUUUACAACUUUCUCCUUUUCUUCUGGUAUAAGGCAAAGUAAAUUCCAUUUAAUAAUACCAAGGAGGAGAAAACAAUAUGAAGG